GACGAACGCUGGCGGCGUGCUUAACACAUGCAAGUCGAACGGAAAGGCCCUGCUUUUGUGGGGUGCUCGAGUGGCGAACGGGUGAGUAACACGUGAGUAACCUGCCCUUUACUUUGGGAUAACUUCAGGAAACUGGGGCUAAUACCGGAUAGGAGCUCCUGCUGCAUGGUGGGGGUUGGAAAGUUUCGGCGGUUGGGGAUGGACUCGCGGCUUAUCAGCUUGUUGGUGGGGUAGUGGCUUACCAAGGCUUUGACGGGUAGCCGGCCUGAGAGGGUGACCGGCCACAGUGGGACUGAGGUACGGCCCAGACUCCUACGGGAGGCAGCAGUGGGGAAUAUUGCACAAUGGGCGGAAGCCUGAUGCAGCAACGCCGCGUGCGGGAUGACGGCCUUCGGGUUGUAAACCGCUUUCGCCUGUGACGAAGCGUGAGUGACGGUAAUGGGUAAAGAAGCACCGGCUAACUACGUG
rnacentral:rRNA from 1 species